rnacentral:rRNA from 1 species
UGAGGAAUAUUGGUCAAUGGGCGAGAGCCUGAACCAGCCAAGUAGCGUGCAGGAUGACAGCCCUAUGGGUUGUAAACUGCUUUUAUAUGGGAAUAAAGUGAGGGACGUGUCCCUUAUUGCAUGUACCAUACGAAUAAGGACCGGCUAAUUCCGUGCCAGCAGCCGCGGUAAUACGGAAGGUCCAGGCGUUAUCCGGAUUUAUUGGGUUUAAAGGGAGCGUAGGCUGUUUGUUAAGCGUGUUGUGAAAUGUAAGAGCUCAACUUUUAGAUUGCAGCGCGAACUGGCAGACUUGAGUGCGCACAACGUAGGCGGAAUUCAUGGUGUAGCGGUGAAAUGCUUAGAUAUCAUGAAGAACUCCGAUUGCGAAGGCAGCUUACGGGAGCGCAACUGACGCUGAAGCUCGAAGGUGCGGGUAUCGAACAGG